rnacentral:rRNA from 1 species
AUACGGAGGGUGCAAGCGUUGUCCGGAUUUAUUGGGUUUAAAGGGUGCGUAGGCGGUCUAUUAAGUCAGUGGUGAAAUACUCCGGCUCAACCGGAGAGGUGCCAUUGAAACUGUUAGACUUGAGUACAGACGAGGUAGGCGGAAUUUAUGGUGUAGCGGUGAAAUGCAUAGAUACCAUAAAGAACACCAAUAGCGAAGGCAGUUUACUAGGCUGUAACUGACGCUGAGGCACGAAAGCGUGGGGAGCGAACAGGAGUAGAUACCCCAGUAGUCC